AUUAUCAACUUUCGAUGGUAGGAUAGAGGCCUACCAUGGUGGUAACGGUAACGGGGUGUUAGGGCACGACACCGGAGAGGGAGCUGAGAAACGGCUACCACAUCCAAGGAUGGCAGCAGGCGCGCAAAUUACCCAAUCCCGACACGGGGAGGUAGUGACAAUAAAUAACAAUACGGGGUUCUUUCGGAUUUCGUAAUUGGAAUGAGUACAAUUUAAAUCUCUUAACGAGGAACAAUUGGAGGGCAAGUCUGGUGCCAGCAGCCGCGGUAAUUCCAGCUCCAAUAGCGUAUAUUAAAGUUGCUGCAGUUAAAAAGCUCGUAGUUGAAUUUCGGGAUCAAUAUGUUGGUCGUGCCUCGGUACGUACUAGCUUAUUGGUUUCUCCCUUCUGACGAACCAUGAUGUCAUUUAUUUGGUGUUAUGAGGAAUCAGGACUGUUACUUUGAAAAAAUUAGAGUGUUUAAAGCAGGCUCACGCUUGAAUACAUUAGCAUGGAAUAAUGAAAUAGGACGUUUGAUUCUAUUUUGUUGGUUUCUAGGAUCGACGUAAUGAUUAAUAGGGAUAGUUGGGGGCAUUAGUAUUCAAUUGUCAGAGGUGAAAUUCUUGGAUUUAUUGAAGACUAACUACUGCGAAAGCAUUUGCCAAGGAUGUUUUCAUUAAUCAAGAACGAAAGUUAGGGGAUCGAAGACGAUCAGAUACCGUCGUAGUCUUAACCAUAAACUAUGCCGACUAGGGAUCGGAUGAUGUUAAUUUUUAAUGACUCAUUCGGCGCCUUACGGGAAACCAAAGUGUUUGGGUU
rnacentral:rRNA from 1 species